GGAUUGGUGUUUCAGUGGUAGAAUUCUCGCCUGCCACGCGGGAGACCCGGGUCCGAUUCCCGGCCAAUGCA
rfam:Danio rerio chromosome 4, GRCz11 reference primary assembly.